rnacentral:sRNA from 1 species
UGAGGGUACGGCGUCCAUUGAAUACCUCCGAGCCACUGCGAUCUUGACUUGUCGAAUUUCUUCGGAAUUCGAACGAUGACGACACGCCCUGUGGAUAUGGGCCGGGUGUUUCCGGAAACCAACAAUGUUAUUAAUUCUGUCGAUUUGUCGCGAAUCGUGACGGCGUUGGUACGAGAGUGGAGAUCUCGGAAAUGCCAUUAAAGAUAGAGGAGGAACGGACAAGGCGAAGGAGAAGUUGUCCGGGUGGAAGUUGAUCACUCAAGGGUGUCGCCGCUGCAAGCUUUCAUCAAAGUCUUCCGCAAUGAAAACGCUACUGGGAGGCUGUUCCAUUCCUGGUAUAGAUGGCCGAAAGAUAUUCUCUCAGCCCUGUCGUGGGUCAACACGAAUGAAACAGAACCUUGCAAGAACUUGAAAGUUUGUGAAAGCACGCAAGUUUGCUUCGGUUAGUAAACUCGCUCCACCAAAAACGCGAUUCUUGAUUUCAAUGUGAAUAUUAAAUGUCUUCACUAUGAAAUCUAGCUAUAGAAGUAGAGAGUCUAUAGUUAUAUAAAGCUGUGCAAGACCCCUGAUUGUAUUUUUUAAGGAGAACUAUCCAUCAAUUACUAAUAUAUUCUAAAUUACUAGUAACAUGACUAGCACUUCCUUUGAAAGGUUUUCCGCAGUUGUCUAUGCCAUGGAUAUGCAAUAGCAGCGCUUGCGAGAUAGAUUAUGAAUGCAAUUGAGACGAAUAUACAUAAAAACGCGU